UACGUAGGGGGCAAGCGUUAUCCGGAAUUACUGGGUGUAAAGGGAGAGUAGGCGGCAAGGUAAGCGAUAUGUGAAAGCCUUAGGCUUAACCUGAGGAUUGCAUAACGAACUAUCUAGCUAGAGUACAGGAGAGGAAAGCGGAAUUCCUAGUGUAGCGGUGAAAUGCGUAGAUAUUAGGAAGAACACCAGUGGCGAAGGCGGCUUUCUGGACUGAAACUGACGCUGAGGCUCGAAAGCGUGGGGAGCGAACAGG
rnacentral:rRNA from 1 species